CUACGGGCGGUUGCAGUGGGGAAUAUUGGACAAUGGGGGAAACCCUGAUCCAGCAAUGCCGCGUGUGUGAAGAAGGCCUGCGGGUUGUAAAGCACUUUCGGUUGGGAGGACUGCUUCUAGCACUAAUAUUGUUGGAAGUUGACGUUACCUUCAGAAGAAGCACCGGCUAACUCCGUGCCAGCAGCCGCGGUAAUACGGGUGGGCAAGCGUUAAUCGGAAUUACUGGGCGUAAAGCGCGCGUAGGCGGCUAGAUCAGUCGGGUGUGAAAGCCCCGGGCUUAACCUGGGAACUGCAUCCGAUACUGUCUAGCUUGAGUACAGGAGAGGAGAGUGGAAUUCCACAUGUAGCGGUGAAAUGCGUAGAUAUGUGGAGGAACACCAAUGGCGAAGGCAGCUCUCUGGCCUGAUACUGACGCUGAGGUGCGAAAGCGUGGGGAGCAAACAGGAUUAGAUACCCUCGUAGUC
rnacentral:rRNA from 1 species